rnacentral:rRNA from 1 species
AAUGAACGCUGGCAGCAUGCCUAACACAUGCAAGUCGAACGAAGCCUUCGGGCUUAGUGGCGCACGGGUGCGUAACGCGUGGGAAUCUGCCCUUGGGUUCGGAAUAACUCUCCGAAAGGAGUGCUAAUACCGGAUGAUGUCGAAAGACCAAAGAUUUAUCGCCCAGGGAUGAGCCCGCGUAGGAUUAGCUAGUUGGUGAGGUAAAAGCUCACCAAGGCGACGAUCCUUAGCUGGUCUGAGAGGAUGAUCAGCCACACUGGGACUGAAACACGGCCCAGACUCCUACGGGAGGCAGCAGUGGGGAAUAUUGGACAAUGGGCGAAAGCCUGAUCCAGCAAUGCCGCGUGAGUGAUGAAGGCCUUAGGGUUGUAAAGCUCUUUUACCCGGGAUGAUAAUGACAGUACCGGGAGAAUAAGCCCCGGCUAACUCCGUGCCAGCAGCCGCGGUAA